UACGGAGGGUGCAAGCGUUAUCCGGAUUCACUGGGUUUAAAGGGUGCGUAGGUGGGCAAGUAAGUCAGUGGUGAAAUCUCCGGGCUUAACCCGGAAACUGCCAUUGAUACUAUUUGUCUUGAAUACUGUGGAGGUCAGCGGAAUAUGUCAUGUAGCGGUGAAAUGCUUAGAUAUGACAUAGAACACCCAUUGCGAAGGCAGCUAACUACGCGAUUAUUGACGCUGAUGCACGAAAGCGUGGGGAUCAAACAGG
rnacentral:rRNA from 1 species